UAUCUCUGUAUUUUGACACGGCAAGUACAAAUAAAAAUAAACAGUGUACAUUUUUAGGGUUAAUCAAUAGUUUAUUAGAGGUCGAUUUAUGGUUAGAAUAAGGUUGCCCUGAUGUUGAUACAUGGUUGAAAUUUAGUCGCUCAAAGGUUAUCCACGUGGCUGACAUGUCGAUUCAACGUCAUUUCAAGGUUAAAAAUUUAAAGGUCGGAAAAUUUCAAAAAUGACGUCAUGACAAUGUUGGGGACGACGUCGAUACAACGUUUCUAAUGCGACGUUGUAACAGCGCCACAAAUAGUGCGAUCCCACGUCGAUAAGAGGUUAAACAUGAUAAUAUACGACGAUAUAUCCACGUCAAGGUUGCAAAGGCAACGUGGAAUCGACGCUUAGUCGAUGUGAUCUGGUUUACUGAGAAUAACUCUUAUUGGUUUUCUUGUUCCUGUGAUACUGAUUUUCGCCAUUCUUUCUUUCUUUUUAUUCUGCAGGGGGGGUUUGAGGAGUUUGAGAAGCCAAGCUGUCUGCAGCAGCAGCCUACAGUAGUGUACAACACAGUCCAUCUUAACCUGGAUACACACAUCGAUACAGAUACAGUUAAGGAUACAGAUACAGUUAACGUCAAGAUAUAGAUACAGUUAACGUCAAGGUUACAGAUACAACCAAGGAGACCGAAGCAGUUUCUAACAUAGAAUUAUCCGUGUAAGAAUUCUGCAGAGAUUAAUCCCAGAAUGAAGAAAACGGAGGAGGAUGAUAUCCCUGUUCCCCCUGCUAAAGAAAGGCUACAAUCUGGAUUUCCUGGACAAUUUGGAUGAUCCCAACUUUAAUCCGUUUCAGACCAAAACCACUUUUAAAGAAAUCUGCAAAACCUGCUCCAGCCCCUGAAACCUCCGGAGUCGAUGAACCAACUAAGGAUGGAGAAGGUUCAAGUUCUCCUCCUCCUCCUCCCUCUAAAGGAUAUAACCUUGAUUUUCUAAGUCAGCUUGAUGAUACUAACUUAAUCCGUUCGAAACUAAAACUGCAGUCGGGGGCUCAUUCGACGCUACAACAGAACCCAAAGAGUCUAAUGAGACUGAUGUCACCAACGUAGAUUUAAAAUCAAAUAAUUCUCUGACUCCCGAGUCUGGCAAGUCUGAAGAAAUUGCUAAACCUGCUGAAAAGAAUAAAGAA